AAGUCGUAACAAGGUCUCCGUUGGUGAACCAGCGGAGGGAUCAUUAAAGAGUUAACUAAACUCCUUAAACCCAUGUGAACUUACCACUCUGUUGCCUCGGCAGCUCUACCGCCCGGCGCCUAGCGCGGGGUGGCUCUGCCGGUGGACCCAAAACCAAACUCUUGUUUUUAUAAUGCCAUUCUGAAUUUUCAAAACUUAAUAAGUUAAAACUUUCAACAACGGAUCUCUUGGUUCUG
rnacentral:misc_RNA from 1 species